rnacentral:rRNA from 1 species
UACGUAGGCAGCGAGCGUUGUUCGGAGUUACUGGGCGUAAAGGGUGUGUAGGCGGUUGUUUAAGUUUGGUGUGAAAUCUCCCGGCUCAACUGGGAGGGUGCGCCGAAUACUGAAUGACUUCGAGUGCGGGAGAGGAGAGUGGAAUUCCUGGUGUAGCGGUGACAUGCGUAGAUAUCAGGAGGAACACCGGUGGUGUAGACGGCUCUCUGGACCGUAACUGACGCUGAGACACGAAAGCGUGGGUAGCAAACAGG